GACGAACGCUGGCGGCGUGCUUAACACAUGCAAGUCGAACGGAAAGGCCCUGCUUUUGUGGGGUGCUCGAGUGGCGAACGGGUGAGUAACACGUGAGUAACCUGCCCUUGACUUUGGGAUAACUUCAGGACACUGGGGCUAAUACCGGAUAGGAGCUCCUGCUGCAUGGUGGGGGUUGGAAAGUUUCGGCGGUUGGGGAUGGACUCGCGGCUUAUCAGCUUGUUGGUGGGGUAGUGGCUUACCAAGGCUUUGAAGGGUAGCCGGCCUGAGAGGGUGACCGGCCACAUUGGGACUGAGAUGCGGCCCAGACUCCUACGGUAGGCAACAGUGGGGAAGAGUGCACAAGGGGCGGAAGCCUGAUGCAGCAACGCCGCGUGCGGGAUGACGGCCUGCGGGUUGGAAACCGCUGUCGCCUGUGACGAAGCGUGAGUGACGGUAAUGGGUAAAGAAGCACCGGCUAACUACGUG
rnacentral:rRNA from 1 species